rnacentral:rRNA from 1 species
GACGAACGCUGGCGGCGUGCUUAACACAUGCAAGUCGAACGGAAAGGCCCUGCUUGUGUGGGGUGCUCGAUUGGCGAACGGGUGAGUAACACGUGAGUAACCUGCCCUUGACUUUGGGAUAACUUCAGGAAACUGGGGCUAAUACCGGAUAGGAGCUCCUGCUGCAGGGUGGGGGUUGGAAAGUUUCGGCGGUUGGGGAUGGACUCGCGGCUUAUCAGCUUGUUGGUUGGGGAGUGGCUUACCAAGGCUUUGACGGGUAGCCGGCCUGAGAGGGUGACCGGCCACAUUGCGCCUGAGAUACGGACCAGACUCCUACGGGAGGCAGCAGGGGGGAAUCUUGCCCAAUGGGAGGACGCCUGAUGAAGGAACGCUGCGUGCGGGAUGACGGCCUUCGGGUUGUAAACAGCUUUAGCCUGUGACGACGCGUGAGUGACGGUACUGGGUAAAGAAGCACCGGCUAACUACGUG